GUGCUCCCAUUUUACUGAUUCGACAUGCUGCUUAUCGCCUCAAUUUUGCUGCUGUGUCGUGCUUCAAGUUGCUGCCAUCUGUGCUUGCUAUUUCAUUAAUUUUGCUGCCUUCACCACCUCAGUUAUUGCGGUUAAUUAUCUCCAAAAUUGCUGCUCUAAGAUGCUGCCAAUUUCCGAUUAUUACUCCUAUAUAUUGUUGUUGUUAGUCGUUUCAAG
rnacentral:lncRNA from 1 species